rnacentral:antisense_RNA from 1 species
GUACCCACCCACCUCUGUUCCUGGCUGUCAAGAUGAUAAUAAUAAUUACCAUCCUUUCAUUCACAAACGAAGCCCAGUCUAGCCUGCUGGAGGACAAAAGGCCACAUAGAGAUGGACCAAGGUGCCUUGGCCAACAGCCAGCACCCACUGCCAGAUAUGAGAGAGAGGCCAUCUUGGACAUCCUAGUCCUGUUGAACUCAGAUGACUGCAGCCACAGGAGUGAUCCCAGUGCCUCACUGCUUCCAGUUGCUGGAGGAUAUGGGGUGCUGCACUGAGGAAAUGCCUCCACCACUGUGGCAGACGUGUGACCCUUGAUGUUCUUCCUAAGUCAGAAUCUGUAUUCUGUGUGUGCCUAGUGUGGAGAACAUGGAUCUGCCCAGCCACACUGGCUCAGAUUCUCUGAGAGGACCAGGGCAGUAACGGUGCCCAGGAGUACUCUAUGAUGUUGCCACCA